AACCUACGGGGCGCAGCAGUGAGGAAUAUUGGUCAAUGGGAGAGAUCCUGAACCAGCCAAGCCGCGUGAGGGAAGACGGCCCUAUGGGUUGUAAACCUCUUUUGUCGGAGAACAAAACCCGGGACGUGUCCCGGUCUGCGGGUAUCCGACGAAAAAGCAUCGGCUAACUCCGUGCCAGCAGCCGCGGUAAUACGGAGGAUGCGAGCGUUAUCCGGAUUUAUUGGGUUUAAAGGGUGCGUAGGCGGUCCGUUAAGUCAGCUGUUAAAUGGCGGGGCUCAACCCC
rnacentral:rRNA from 1 species